rnacentral:lncRNA from 1 species
CUGACACCUUGAGUGCAGCCUGUGAGACCCUGAGCAGAGGUUCAGCAGUCCCCUCCCCGGACUCCUGCCACACAGAAGCCAUGAGGCAUCCCCAUCACACACUAGGCUUGGUGACUGCACUUGAGGGACUCACAGGACUUAGCCUACCAUCAUACUAGUGGCUGGGAUUUACUACGGUGAAAAGAUGCGACGCAGAAUUAGUAACAGGAAGAUGCAUUUGGGGUGAGGGCCGGAGGAAACCAGCUGACAGAACCAAGGACACACACCUUGUUAACGACGCCCUCAAGGCUGUGAGGAGAAAGACAACCGGGUGAAGCAACGCUGGGAAUUCAACGCAUCAAUUACCUUCCCAGGUAACAGCAGCUACUUGAGCUCCUAAGAGUUGACCUUCAGCUGCUGUCAUGGAAAAUAGUGGGGGUCAACUAGACAUCAAAGAUGAAAGGCCAGGCCUCCAGCACAACUUUCUCUGUAAGCUCGAUAGUGGCUUUCUCAAAGAAAUCCUUUUCUCAA